GAAGGCUGUGCAAGGCACAUGCAGGGAGGUGUGACUAGGGUUCAUAAACAAAGAGAUUUAACUCCUAAAUAGCAGAGGAUUGAGCAGUGAGGCUGCAGGGGCAUGUUCUAUACACCAAAACUGCUUCAUUAAGCUAAAGUUGUUCAGGUGACUAUAGUGUCCCUUUAAGUGAUUUAACCAAAACUGACGGUCUCAUACGCAUCCUCUAGAUUCGCCCCCUUUUCACACAGAGAUGUACAUUACAGCUAUGCCCGUGCAAUUGUUCCAACGCAUACAUUACCACAAUGCAUGGUAUAAAAACUAUUUUAAAAAAAAUAAAAUAGUAUUUUUACAAACAAAUUUAGCCAGUGCAAAGCACAUUAACCCCUUAAGGACCAAACUUCUGGAAUAAAAGGGAAUCAUGACAUGUCACACAUGUAAUGCACCUACAGCUUAUUUAAAUUGUUCUGGUGAGUAGAAUCAUUACCUUUAAGCUUUUUGCUGUAAACACUCUUUUCAGAGAAAAUGCAUUGUUUACAUUACAGCCUAAUGAUAACUUCGCCGGCCACUCCUCAGCUGUUAGAGAGCAUUCCUGGGUCACUGCUGCCUAAAUUUCAUCCAAACAUGGUGUCUCCACCCUAUGCAUGUAGAACUGAACUUUCCUCAUAGAGAUUCAUUGAUUCAAUUCAUCUCUAUGAGGAGAUGCUGAUUGGCCAAGGCUGGGUUUGACUUGUGCGGUGGGCAGGUCUAAAGGAAAUUGGGACUAAGUAAGC